GAAAAAGUUAUUUUUUCGUCGCCUUGAAACUUGAAACAGUGGUGGCUCCAACUUAGAAGAAGGUUAAAAUUGUUGCUAGAGUGUAUGGACGACAAUUUGCCUUCUUUGUUAAUGAUGUAUUAUUUUCCAGGAAAUAUGUUGAAUAAUCCUCAACUGAACGACUUCUAUCGUUGUUGGCUGAUGUAUCGUUGUUGGCUGAUGUAUCGUAUUCGAGGGAUAAGAGACUAACUAGCUAAGAACUGCAUUAGCCAUCGGCCACUACCCACCCUUCAUUUGCUGUCAUUCUACCUUCAGACUGGAAGACAGACUGGAAGACCAUAGGGAUGCAGCACUCCGUAGAGGACAUGUCAAAUGCCUUGAUUGUAUUAUCAAGAGGCAUAACACAAAGAGAUGCGAUGAACAGUACAAGAAACCUACCACAAGUUUACAGUAGCGUUUCACAGGAAGGAUUAAAUCACCCGAAAGAUUGGGAGGCUAAACGUGAAAGACAUUCGUAAAGAAAGCGUUUUGUCACGGAAACAUUUUUUGGGACUUUUUAUCUGGUAGAGUGAGAGAGGAGAUACACAAAUAACCCGCACAUAGAAGAGAGGCGCUUACGACGACUUUUCGGUCCGACUUGGACCAUUUACAAAUUCACACUGAUGAAAAGGAGAGA